CUUAGACAUGCAAGUCGAGCGAGAAAGCGCCUACGGGCGUAAGUAAAGCGGCGGACGGGUGAGUACACGUGAGUACCUUCCUCCCGGUGGGGGACAACGUCUCGAAAGGGACGCUAGUACCGCAUGUGGUUUAUUUGUCUUCGGACGGAUAAAAGAAAGGCGGACUCUCCAUGGAAGCUGUCUGCGGGAGACGGGCUCGCGGUCCAUUAGCUAGUUGGCAGGGUAAUGGCCUAUCAAGGCUUUGAUGGGUAGCUGGUUUGAGAGGAUGAUCAGCCACACUGGAACUGAGACACGGUCCAGACUCCUACGGGAGGCAGCAGUCGGGAAUAUUGGACAAUGGGGGAAACCCUGAUCCAGCCACGCCGUGUGGGUGAAGGAGGCCUUCGGGUCGUAAAGCCCUGUCAGAAUGGACGAAACGGUUUUAGGUUAAUAAGCUCGAGCCUUGACGGUACCUUCAAAGGAAGCACCGGCUAACUACGUGCCAGCAGCCGCGUUAAUACGUAGGGUGCAAGCGUUGCUCGGAAUCACUGGGCGUAAAGGGCGUGCAGGCGGUUCGGCAAGCGGGAUGUGAAAGCCCCGGGCUCAACCCGGGAAGUGCGUUCCGAACUGCUGGACUUGAGUCCGGAAGAGGGUGGUGGAAUUCCUGGUGGAACGGUGAAAUGUGUAGAUAUCAGGAGGAACAUCGGUGGCGAAGGCGACCACCUGGUCCGGUACUGACGCUGAAGCGCGAAAGC
rnacentral:rRNA from 1 species